rnacentral:rRNA from 1 species
UACGGAGGGUGCAAGCGUUUAUCCGGAUUCACUGGGUUUAAAGGGUGCGUAGGCGGACAGGUAAGUCAGUGGUGAAAUCUCCGAGCUUAACUCGGAAACUGCCUUUGAUACUCUCUGUCUUGAAUAUGGUGGAGGUAAGCGGAAUAUGUCGUGUAGCGGUGAAAUGCUUAGAGAUGACAUAGAACACCUAUUGCGAAAGGCAGCUUACUACGCCUAUAUUGACGCUGAGGCACGAAAGCGUGGGGAUCAAACAGG